UGGUAGUNCACGCCGUAAACGAUGAGUGCUAGGUGUUAGGCCCUUUCCGGGGCUUAGUGCCGGAGCUAACGCAAUAAGCACUCCGCCUGGGGAGUACGACCGCAAGGUUGAAACUCAAAGGAAUUGACGGGGGCCCGCACAAGCGGUGGAGCAUGUGGUUUAAUUCGAAGCAACGCGAAGAACCUUACCAGGUCUUGACAUCCCGAUGCUAUUCUUAGAGAUAGGAAGUUACUUCGGUACAUCGGAGACAGGUGGUGCAUGGUUGUCGUCAGCUCGUGUCGUGAGAUGUUGGGUUNNNNNNNNNNNNCGAGCGCAACCCUUAUUGUUGGUUGCCAUCAUUAAGUUGGGCACUCUAGCGAGACUGCCGGUAAUAAACCGGAGGAAGGUGGGGAUGACGUCAAAUCAUCAUGCCCCUUAUGACCUGGGCUACACACGUGCUACAAUGGUCGGUACAACGAGUUGCGAGCCGGUGACGGCAAGCUAAUCUCUGAAAGCCGAUCUCAGUUCGGAUUGGAGGCUGCAACUCGCCUCCAUGAAGUCGGAAUCGCUAGUAAUCGCGGAUCAGCACGCCGCGGUGAAUACGUUCCCGGGCCUU
rnacentral:rRNA from 1 species